rnacentral:rRNA from 1 species
GCGAACGCUGGCGGCAGGCCUAAUACAUGCAAGUCGAGCGGUCCCUUCGGGGGCAGCGGCGGACGGGUGAGUAACGCGUGGGAACGUGCCCUUUGGUACGGAACAACUGAGGGAAACUUCAGCUAAUACCGUAUGUGCCCUACGGGGGAAAGAUUUAUCGCCAUUGGAGCGGCCCGCGUUAGAUUAGCUAGUUGGUAGGGUAAUGGCCUACCAAGGCGACGAUCUAUAGCUGGUCUGAGAGGAUGAUCAGCCACCCUGGGACUGAGACACGGCCCAGACUCCUACGGGAGGCAGCAGUAGGGAAUCUUGCGCAAUGGGCGAAAGCCUGACGCAGCCAUGCCGCGUGAAUGAUGAAGGUCUUAGGAUUGUAAAAUUCUUUCACCGGGGACGAUAAUGACGGUACCCGGAGAAGAAGCCCCGGCUAACUUCGUGCCAGCCGCCGCCGUAAAAC